UUCUUCAGUUAUAAACAAUGAAGGGAUCAUUCUCUCUCCAAACUAUCCAAUGAACUACGACAACAACCACGAGUGCAUCUACAGCAUCCAGGUGCAAGCUGGGAAAGGCAUCAACAUUUCUGCUAGAACCUUUCAUCUGGCCCAGGCAGAUAUACUAAAGAUUUAUGAUGGUAAAGACAGCACAGCCCA